rnacentral:rRNA from 1 species
AGGUAGUAAUUUUUAAUUAAACCUAUUUACAAUGACGGCAUUUAAUCUUAUUAGAGGAACUUGUCCUUUAAUUGAUAAUCCACAUUUAUUUUCACUUUUUUUAAAAAUUUAUAUACCGCCGUCUAAAGAAUUAAUUAAAAAGUAUUAUUCAAAAUAAAAAUUAAAAAGUUAGGUCAAGGUGUAGUCAAUAGAAAAGAAUAAAGAUGAGUUACCUUAAAUAAAAUUUAAGGAAUAAAAUAAAUAUAUUUUAAGAAAAAGGAUUUAAUAUUAAUAAAUUAAUAUUAUUCUUAUAUGAAUAAGAUAAUAAAUGUGU